GCGAAUGCUGACAUAAGUAACGAUAAAGCGGGUGAAAAGCCCGCUCGCCGGAAGACCAAGGGUUCCUGUCCAACGUUAAUCGGGGCAGGGUGAGUCGACCCCUAAGGCGAGGCCGAAAGGCGUAGUCGAUGGGAAACGGGUUAAUAUUCCCGUACUUGGUGUUACUGCGAAGGGGGGACGGAGAAGGCUAUGUUGGCCGGGCGACGGUUGUCCCGGUUUAAGCGUGUAGGUGUGUGUUCCAGGUAAAUCCGGUUCACUUUAACACUGAGGCGUGAUGACGAGGCACUACGGUGCUGAAGCAACAAAUGCCCUGCUUCCAGGAAAAGCCUCUAAGCAUCAGGUAACAUCAAAUCGUACCCCAAACCGACACAGGUGGUCAGGUAGAGAAUACCAAGGCGCUUGAGAGAACUCGGGUGAAGGAACUAGGCAAAAUGGUGCCGUAACU
rnacentral:rRNA from 1 species